rnacentral:rRNA from 1 species
AGUGAACGCUGGCGGUAGGCCUAACACAUGCAAGUCGAACGGCAGCACAGUAAGAGCUUGCUCUUACGGGUGGCGAGUGGCGGACGGGUGAGGAAUACAUCGGAAUCUACUUUUUCGUGGGGGAUAACGUAGGGAAACUUACGCUAAUACCGCAUACGACCUACGGGUGAAAGCAGGGGAUCUUCGGACCUUGCGCGAUUGAAUGAGCCGAUGUCGGAUUAGCUAGUUGGCGGGGUAAAGGCCCACCAAGGCGACGAUCCGUAGCUGGUCUGAGAGGAUGAUCAGCCACCCUGGAACUGAGACACGGUCCAGACUCCUACGGGAGGCAGCAGUGUGGAAUAUUGGACAAUGGGCGCAAGCCUGAUCCAGCCAUACCGCGUGGGUGAAGAAGGCCUUCGGGUUGUAAAGCCCUUUUGUUGGGAAAGAAAAGCAGCAGGUUAAUACCCCGCUGUUCUGACGGUACCCAAAGAAUAAGCACCGGCUAACUUCGUG